rnacentral:tRNA from 1 species
GGGGAUAUAGUAUAAUGGUAGUACGCCAAUUUUGCAAGUUGAUAGUUUAGGUUCAAUCCCUAAUUUCUCCA